GGGUUGUGAGGUUAAGCGACUAAGCGUACACGGUGGAUGCCCUGGCAGUCAGAGGCGAUGAAGGGCGUGCUAAUCUGCGAUAAGCGCCGGUAAGGUGAUAUGAACCGUUAUAACCGGCGAUACCCGAAUGGGGAAACCCAGUGUGAUUCGUCACACUAUCAUUAACUGAAUCCAUAGGUUAAUGAGGCGAACCGGGGGAACUGAAACAUCUAAGUACCCCGAGGAAAAGAAAUCAACCGAGAUUCCCCCAGUAGCGGCGAGCGAACGGGGAGGAGCCCAGAGCCUGAAUCAGCAUGUGUGUUAGUGGAAGCGUCUGGAAAGGCGCGCGAUACAGGGUGACAGCCCCGUACACAAAAGCGCAUGUGCUGUGAGCUCGAUGAGUAGGGCGGGACACGUGGUAUCCUGUCUGAAUAUGGGGGGACCAUCCUCCAAGGCUAAAUACUCCUGACUGACCGAUAGUGAACCAGUACCGUGAGGGAAAGGCGAAAAGAACCCCGGCGAGGGGAGUGAAAAAGAACCUGAAACCGUGUACGUACAAGCAGUGGGAGCCCCACCACUAAGCCAGUGGUGAACUCCACAUACGCAUCCUUUGCUGAGGAUACGGUUAACGGAGCGAAAGCGACGUUCAACCUCAAAAGAAGCAGAGGGGGCUUAGUGGUGGGGUGACUGCGUACCUUUUGUAUAAUGGGUCAGCGACUUAUAUUCUGUAGCAAGGUUAACCGUAUAGGGGAGCCGGAGGGAAACCGAGUCUUAAUUGGGCGUUAAGUUGCAGGGUAUAGACCCGAAACCCGGUGAUCUAGCCAUGGGCAGGUUGAAGGUUGGGUAACACUAACUGGAGGACCGAACCGACUAAUGUUGAAAAAUUAGCGGAUGACCUGUGGCUGGGGGUGAAAGGCCAAUCAAACCGGGAGAUAGCUGGUUCUCCCCGAAAGCUAUUUAGGUAGCGCCUCGUGAAUUCAUCUCCGGGGGUAGAGCACUGUUUCGGCUAGGGGGCCAUCCCGGCUUACCAACCCGAUGCAAACUGCGAAUACCGGAGAAUGUUAUCACGGGAGACACACGGCGGGUGCUAACGUCCGUCGUGAAGAGGGAAACAACCCAGACCGCCAGCUAAGGUCCCAAAGUCAUGGUUAAGUGGGAAACGAUGUGGGAAGGCUCAGACAGCCAGGAUGUUGGCUUAGAAGCAGCCAUCAUUUAAAGAAAGCGUAAUAGCUCACUGGUCGAGUCGGCCUGCGCGGAAGAUGUAACGGGGCUAAACCAUGCACCGAAGCUGCGGCAGCGACGCUGAUGCGUUGUUGGGUAGGGGAGCGUUCUGUAAGCCUGUGAAGGUGGCCUGUGAGGGUUGCUGGAGGUAUCAGAAGUGCGAAUGCUGACAUAAGUAACGAUAAAGCGGGUGAAAAGCCCGCUCGCCGGAAGACCAAGGGUUCCUGUCCAACGUUAAUCGGGGCAGGGUGAGUCGACCCCUAAGGCGAGGCCGAAAGGCGUAGUCGAUGGGAAACGGGUUAAUAUUCCCGUACUUGGUGUUACUGCGAAGGGGGGACGGAGAAGGCUAUGUUGGCCGGGCGACGGUUGUCCCGGUUUAAGCGUGUAGGUGUGUGUUCCAGGUAAAUCCGGUUCACUUUAACACUGAGGCGUGA
rnacentral:rRNA from 1 species